rnacentral:rRNA from 1 species
AUGGAGAUCGCCAUGGGGGCCAUUGGCCCUCUCCUCCCGAAGCUCGGUGAGCUGCUCAUCGGCGAGCUCACCUUGGAGAAACAAGUGAGGAAAGGCAUCAAGUCUCUCGUGACAGAGCUGACAUUGAUGCAUGCCGCUCUCCGCAAGGUAGCAAAAGUGCCGGUGGAUCAGCUUGAAGAGGGGGUCAAGAUCUGGGCUGGAAAUAUCAAGGAUUUAUCCUACCAAAUGGAGGAAAUCAUUGAUGUUUUCAAGGUCCACGUGGAGAAUGGGGGCAAGCCAACCAACUCGAAGAACAGAGUUAAGAAGAUACUCAAGAAGGUCAAAAGGUUAUUCAAGAAUGGCAAGGAUCUCCAUCGGAUCUCUAAUGCUCUAGAAGAAGCGGUCCAACAAGCUAAGAAGUUGGCGGAGCUGCGUCAAAGGUAUGAGCAAGAGAUGCGGGAUACUAGUGUUGGUGCUAGUGUUGACCCCCGCAUGAUGGCCCUAUACACAGAUGUGACAGAGCUCGUCGGCAUUGAAGAAACACGAGAUGAGUUGAUCAACAUGUUGAUUGAAGGUGAUGAUUGGUUGAAGCAUCCAUUGAAGACGGUCUCUAUUGUCGGAUUUGGUGGUUUGGGCAAGACAACUCUUGCCAAAUCAGCAUAUGACCAGAUCAAAGGGCGAUUUGAUUGUUAUGCUUUUAUUUCGGUUUCUCAGAAUCCCGACAAGAAGAAAGUUUUCCAGAAUAUUCUCUAUGGACUUGACAAGAAGAAGUAUGGACACAUUCAUAGCAAAGAAUGGGAACAAAAUCAUCUGAUCGAUGAAAUCAUCGAAUUCCUUAACGGCAAGAGGUACCUCAUCGUAAUUGAUGACAUAUGGGAUAAAGAAGUCUGGAAAUUAAUCAAGUGUGCUUUCUCCAAGAAGAGUCCUGGAAGCCGACUAAUCACAACAACUCGUGUUGUUAGUGUCUCUGAAGCAUGUUGUUCUUCUAUGGAUGAUAUUUACAAAAUGAAACCACUUUCUGACGAUGUAUCAAGAACACUCUUCUAUAAAAGAGUAUUUUCUCAAGAGAAUGGGUGUCCUCAAGAAUUAGUGCAAGUAUCCAAAGACAUUUUGAAGAAAUGUGGUGGCAUACCAUUAGCUAUUAUUUCUAUAGCAAGUCUCCUGGCUAAUAAUAAUCAGAUAAAAACAAAGGACCAAUGGUAUACUUUGCUCAAUUCCAUUGGCCGUGGACUCACGGAAGAUCAAAGUUUGGAGGAGAUGAAAAAGAUAUUAUUAUUCAGCUAUUAUGAUCUACCCUCAUAUCUGAAACCUUGUUUAUUAUAUCUUAGCAUCUUCCCAGAAGAUCACGAGAUUAUGAGAGAUAGGCUGAUAUGGAGAUGGAUAUCCGAAGGUCUUGUUUACAGUGAUAGACAAGAAACUAGCUUAUAUGAGCUCGGUAAUAGCUACUUCAAUGAGCUAGUGAAUAGAAGUAUGAUCCAGCCGAUAGGCAUUGAUGUUGUAGGAAAUGUACAAGGUUGCCGUGUACAUGACAUGGUUCUUGACCUUAUAUGCUCAUUAUCAAGUGAAGAAAACUUUGUCACAAUACUAGAUAACAACAGAAGAAAAAUUCCUAACUCAGAGAUCAAGGUUCGCAGAUUGUCCAUUCAAAAUAGCAAGAUAGAUGUGGAUACCACUAGGAUGGAGCAUAUGAGAUCUCUUACUGUUUUCACAAGUGAUGUUGUUGGGAAAGUGUUGGAUAUUUCAAGUUUUCAAGUUCUGCGCGUGUUGGAUUUAGAAGGCUGUAAAAAUGUCUCGGAUGUUGGGUAUGUGGGGAAUCUGUUGCAUUUGAGGUACUUGGGGCUAAAAGGUACUCAUGUUAAGGACCUUCCCAAGGAAAUAGGGAAGCUGCAGUUUUUGCUUAUCUUGGACUUAAGAGGUUCUAAGAUAGAAGUACUGCCAUCGAGUGUUGUUCAACUAAGACGUCUAAUGUGCUUGUAUGUUGCUUAUGAUAUGAAGCUGCCAUCUGGAAUAGGUAACCUGACUUCCCUAGAAGUGCUAGAUGAGCUGGGGUUAUCUGACGUGGACCUUGAUUUUGUGAAAGAAUUGGGCCGUCUGACCAAGCUCAGGGUGCUCCGGCUUGACUGCGAUGAUUUUGAUGAGAGCCUGGGUAAAGCUUUGGAGGAAUCUAUUAGUAAUAUGCACAGACUGGACAGUCUAGAUGUAUAUGUCUCUGAUGGACUCAUCAAUUGCCUGAGCGAAGAUUGGGUGCCUCCUCCACAACUCCGUAGAUUGGCUUUCCGGUCAACUCAAAGUUGGUUCGGGACAUUGCCGUCAUGGAUUAAUCCUUCAUCGCUUCCUCUCCUCUCCUAUCUGGAUAUAACGUUGUUUGAAGUGCGAUCGGAGGUCAUCCAGCUUCUUGGGACUCUGCCUGCUCUUGUUUGUCUUCAGAUACUGGAUUGUUCUGUGUACAGAAAAGGGCAUGAGGUGGAAGCGCCGGUCCUUUCCUCUGGUGCGUUAUUCCCAUGUGCGACGGAGUGCCGCUUCUAUAGUAUUGGUGCCAUGCCAUCAAUGUUUCCACGAGGAGCAGCGCCAAGGCUUAAACACCUUGAGUUCACCUUACCAUCCAAGUGGAUCUCCCGUGAAAACUUUGAUUUGGGCAUGCGGCAUCUCCCUUCCCUCGAGCGAGUCAGGGUUCGUUUUAUCGAGGAGGGAGCUAGCCGUCAGGAGGUGGAUGAUGAAGCAAUGGCUGCGCUAAGGGCCGCAGCGGAGGACCACCCCAACCAUCCCGCCCUUUACAUCUGGUGA